CGGUGGAAUCUCGGAUGUCGGAAACCUCUAGAAGGGUAAAACCAUGUUUUAUGAAAUGUUUUUAAUGUAUUUUAUGUUUUUAAGCAAAAAGGAAAUUGAGUUUUUGAAUGAAAAGGACCAAAGGAGGCUUUGCCAGGUUCGGCCGCCGAAAGUGAGGUUCGGCCGCCGAACAUGGUGGGGUUUUGGGAGCGCUUUAGGCCUCCGAAAGCCUUGUCUGAAAGACUCAAGGUUCGGCCGCCGAACCUCAUGUUCGGCCGCCGAACAUGCAUGAGAUGUGGGGGCACGUUAGGCCGCCGAAAGGUGACAGAACCUGCCCUAUAAAGGACCCCGUGACCGAAACAGGCGAGGUUUUCUCUCCCAUUUCGGCCGACGGUAAGCUUUAG
rnacentral:lncRNA from 1 species